CAGCUUUCGACGGUAUGGUAUUGGCUUACCGUGGCAGUGACGGUUAACGGGGGAUUAGGGUUCGAUUCCGGAGAGGGAGCCUGAGAAACGGCUACCACAUCUAAGGAAGGCAGCAGGCGCGCAAAUUACCCAAUUCUAACAGUAUAAGAGAGGUAGUGACAAGAAAUAACAGUACAAGGCAGUUAAAAUGCUUUGUAAUUGGAAUGAUAGAAAUUUAAACACUUUUUAAAGUAUCAAUUGGAGGGCAAGUCUGGUGCCAGCAGCCGCGGUAAUUCCAGCUCCAAUAGCGUAUAUUAAAAUUGUUGCAGUUAAAAAGCUCGUAGUUGAAUUUCUGCUAAAAAUAACCGGUGUGCUUUUAUUAAUAAAAGUGGUAUCUUGGUGUGUUUUUAGCAAUAAUGUCCUUAGAAAUGAUUUUUACCUUAUUGUAAGAAGCAAUAUUCAGGAUUUUUACUUUGAGAAAAUUAGAGUGUUUCAAGCAGGCUAAUGUUUUGAAUACUGCAGCAUGGAAUAAUAAAA
rnacentral:rRNA from 1 species